GUGCUCACUUUGGCAGCAUAUAUUCUCAAAUCGGAACCGUAGGGAGAAGAUCGUUGUGGCCCCUGCGCAAGCGUGACAUGCAAAUUCGUGAAGCGCUCCAUGUUUUA